rnacentral:lncRNA from 1 species
ACUCCAGGUAGAAGUAAUUUUCAAAUAUACAUCUUUGAAAGGGUGCAAUUUGGGGUGUGGAGGCUUUACUCGAUCUGAGCACCCUGACGUAUGGGUCAGACUGUGUGGAUACCUAUUUAACCAUGGACCCUGGGUUCAGCUAGGGUGAACAAAUGCUUUGACAAUUAAAUGUGAGAUAAGGUUCAUGUAGGGGACCAAGACAACCCAAUGACAUUGAUAUUGCACAGAGUUCCGACCUAACACACCCUACAUUUAUAGUCUGAUAUCAUCACGAAUUUAUUUAUUUAUUUUUUUUAAAAAAAGCCAGGCAAAUCUGAAAAUGGAACAUUUAGGUCCAGGUCUACAAUCUAUAUGCAAUUCCCGGGCU